rnacentral:lncRNA from 1 species
UCGGAGUGUGUUUCUACGUUGGACUUUCCAAGUUGAUGCUGAAAAAACUUCUAUUACUUCCUCUCGUUGUGCUGUUAAGUUGAUGGAUGUUGGGCUACUUGUUCAUUGACUUGGACAGAGUCAUGGAUCUCUUGACUGGUAAUUGCCACUGGAUUGAAUCUAUGUAGUUGAACUCCAUGAGUAGGUCAGUGUGAUACUCCAUUUUGGUCUCUGUGCUGUACAUGAUGGAGGGUUUGUUCCAUUGGAGCAAAAACUUGAGAUUCAAGCACAAUUGUUGAUUAUGAGCUCCCCGACAAUUCCAUAACUUUAUCUUCAUUAGUCGUUCAUGCUAUGGGAAGCUCUCUUCGGAGCCAAUGUUAGUUCCAAGCACGUUAGCAAGUGAGGAGGAUCGUAUAGGGCUGCUGGUAGUAAGUUGUCUUGUAGGGUUGGGAUCAAGAGCAUGACAUAUCUCUCUUCCACUGAGGAUGGGUUUAGGAGAAUGUUCAAUGGGGUUUUCUUGAGUUUUGGGUGGGAGGGUGGGUGAAGAUUAUCUGUGCUGUACAUGAUGGAGGGUUUGUUCCAUUGGAGCAAAAACUUGAGAUUCAAGCACAAUUGUUGAUUAUGAGCUCCCCGACAAUUCCAUAACUUUAUCUUCAUUAGUCGUUCAUGCUAUGGGAAGCUCUCUUCGGAGCCAAUGUUAGUUCCAAGCACGUUAGCAAGUGAGGAGGAUCGUAUAGGGCUGCUGGUAGUAAGUUGUCUUGUAGGGUUGGGAUCAAGAGCAUGACAUAUCUCUCUUCCACUGAGGAUGGGUUUAGGAGAAUGUUCAAUGGGGUUUUCUUGAGUUUUGG